rnacentral:rRNA from 1 species
UGGGGAAUCUUGCGCAAUGGGCGAAAGCCUGACGCAGCGACGCCGCGUGCGGGAGGAAGCCCCUCGGGGUGUAAACCGCUGUCAGAGGGGAAGAAUGGGCAUCCGAGGAAAUGCGGGUGUUUUGACGGUACCCUCAGAGGAAGCACCGGCUAACUCUGUGCCAGCAGCCGCGGUAAUACAGAGGGUGCGAGCGUUGUUCGGAAUUACUGGGCGUAAAGCGCGCGCAGGCGGCCUUUUAAGUCUACCCGUGAAAUGCCGGGGCUCAACUCCGUGCACGCCGGGGGAUACUGGGAGGCUGGAGACAGGUAGAGGCAAGCGGAAUUCCGGGUGUAGCGGUGGAAUGCGUAGAGAUCCGGAAGACACCUGAGGCGAAGGCGGCUUGCUGGGCCUGGUCUGACGCUGAGGCGCGAAAGCGUGGGGAGCAAACAGGAUUAGAUACCCUGGUAGUCCACGCCGUAAACGAUGGGCACUAGACGCGGGUGGGAUCGACCCUUCCGUGUCGCAGCUAACGCGAUAA